CACACCCUCGCUCUAACCCCGUCUGGCUCCCAGACACACUCUCUCUCUCUCUCUCUCUUGCUCUCUUUCACACUCAUACACAUGGUGUCUGUGAGGGUGCUGGACGCGUCCUCUCUGAAGAGUCACUGCCAACUUCAGGAUUCUUUCAGACUCUAAGUUUUCGGAUGGGAGAGUGGAAAAAGUGCAGAAAAGUAACAGUGUUUGCUGGUGUUUCUCUUUCUGGUCUUUAUCAUUGGGCUGGUCUCCUGUGCCUGCUGUGCUGAUAAUCAGUGUCUCUCUUCAGCUGGCUCAGUUCAGCAGGAACAGGGGCCUAGUCUUGCCAACAUAGCACCUCAGAGACACACAUCCACACAUCCAAACACACAGAUGCAGUCCAGAGAUGUACACUCUCGGAAAAGCCACACUUCUCACACCUGGAAUCCAGAGCAAGAUGGCUGCAUACAGUUUGUAAAAGUUUUGAAUGUUAUAAAUACAUAAUAAUAAGAAUGCAGCCUACCAACUAUGGGCUGGCGCCAGUGACUUGUCCUGUGACAUCAAUAAAACCGAGAUAUCAAUAAAAGCUAAAAAAGGCUCCAAGUCAAA